GGCUGGUCCAAAGGUAGUGAGUUAUCUCAACUGAUUGUUCAGUUAGUACAGACUGAACUCCUUGUUCUACUCUUUCCCCCCUUCUCACUACUGCACUUGACUAGUCUUAA
ensembl:misc_RNA Y_RNA Y RNA